rnacentral:rRNA from 1 species
UACGUAGGGGGCAAGCGUUGUCCGGAUUUAUUGGGCGUAAAGAGCGUGUAGGCGGCCAGGUAGGUCUGCUGUGAAAACUCGAGGCUCAACCUCGAGAUGUCGGCGGAAACCAUCUGGCUAGAGUCCGGAAGAGGAGAAUGGAAUUCCCGGUGUAGCGGUGAAAUGCGCAGAUAUCGGGAAGAACACCCGUGGCGAAGGCGGUUCUCUGGGACGGUACUGACGCUGAGGAGCGAAAGUGUGGGGAGCGAACAGG